rnacentral:rRNA from 1 species
AAUCAACGCUGGCGGCGUGCCUCAGACAUGCAAGUCGAACGAUUAAAGCUCUCUUCGGAGAGUGUAUAAAGUGGCGCACGGGUGAGUAACACGUAAGUAAUCUACCUUCGAGUGGGGAAUAACGUCCGGAACGGACGCUAAUACCGCAUAACGCAGCGGCAUCGCAAGAUGACAGUUGUUAAAGAUUUAUCGCUUGAAGAGGAGCUUGCGGCAGAUUAGCUUGUUGGUAAGGUAACGGCUUACCAAGGCUACGAUCUGUAACCGGUCUAAGAGGACGGUCGGUCACACUGACACUGAAUAACGGGUCAGACUCCUAU